rnacentral:rRNA from 1 species
UACGUAGGUGGCAAGCGUUGUCCGGAUUUACUGGGCGUAAAGAGCGCGCAGGCGGUCGUUCAAGUCGCGUGUGAAAGCCCCCGGCUCAACUGGGGAGGGUCACGCGAUACUGAUCGACUCGAAGGCAGGAGAGGGUAGUGGAAUUCCCGGUGUAGUGGUGAAAUGCGUAGAUAUCGGGAGGAACACCAGUGGCGAAGGCGACUACCUGGCCUGUUCUUGACGCUGAGGCGCGAAAGCUGAAGGGGAGCAAACGGGGGAUUAAGAAACCCGGG